rnacentral:rRNA from 1 species
GUGAGGAAUAUUGGACAAUGGGCGCAAGCCUGAUCCAGCCAUGCCGCGUGCAGGAAGACGCAUCUAUGGUGUGUAAACUGCUUUUGUACGGGAAGAAACACUCCCUCGUGAGGGAGCUUGACGGUACCGUAAGAAUAAGGAUCGGCUAACUCCGUGCCAGCAGCCGCGGUAAUACGGAGGAUCAAAGCGUUAUCCGGAAUCGUUGGGUUUAAAGGGUCCGUAGGCGGUUUAAUAAGUCAGUGGUGAAAGCCCAUCGCUCAACGAUGGAACGGCCAUUGAUACUGUUAGACUUGAAUUACAAGGAAGUAACUAGAAUAUGUAGUGUAGCGGUGAAAUGCUUAGAUAUUACAUGGAAUACCAAUUGCGAAGGCAGGUUACUACUUGUGGAUUGACGCUGAUGGACGAAAGCGUGGGGAGCGAACAGGAUUAGAAACCCGGGUAGUCC